rnacentral:lncRNA from 1 species
CUGGUCCUGCCAUUAAUUUAUUUAAGGUCCUGGAAGAAUACUUAAAUUGGUCUCAAGUUCCAUCAGCAAGAUGGGAGACUCCAUUGAAAAGAAACAUAAUAUAUGGAAAAAUUACUAGAAAAUCUAGGAAAACUGACUGAAUGCUUUGGAAAGACACAGUCAAGUUAACAUGCUGAGACUCGGGAGGUGGUGAUUUGCCUAGGGACACAGAAAAUUAAAAAAAAAUGUGUCACAAGAAAGUUUACAGAACCUACUCAAACUCAAAGAGAAAUCAGAGAACAUAAACAACUUUACUUCAUGAACUAGAUGAUAAUGCUGUACAGAGCACACAGCUGGAAUUCAGUAACCAUUGCAUUAAAACCAUUUUUUAAAUUAAAAAAAAAUGUGUCACAAGAAAGUUUACAGAACCUACUCAAACUCAAAGAGAAAUCAGAGACUAAAUUCUCAAAACUGGAAGCUGCCUACAGCAUCCACACUCUUCAGC